AAGAAAGGCCAACAAGGGCCUACUUUUACUUUAAAAAAAAAUGGGAAUCAUUGUGCACCAUUACCUUUGUCGUCCACUUCCAGUCCACAUUUCACUCCCACUCUCUCUUCCGUCUUCAUCCUCUUCAGUUCUGCCUCAUUUGCAGAACCCAAUCACAUCCCAACUCUCUUUCCCCAAACCAAACAGAACGCAAAAUCAAAAGGCAAAAGAGGAAAGGGAAGAGUAACGAUGCGAUCCAACGUGAUCAUUUACGUUAGAUUCUGGCUGUGGCAUGCUUUUAUUCUACUGCUGCUUACUUCCAACUUUGCUCUUGCACAGUCUAUCAUCAAGAACUUACCAGCCUUCCAGGGUGACCUCCCUUUCAAGCUUGAAACUGGGUAUGUGGGCGUGGGAGAUUCAGAAGAGGUGCAACUGCUCUACUACUUUGUUGAGUCAGAAAGGAGUCCAGAAAAUGAUCCUCUGCUGAUUUGGUUGACAGGAGGUCCUCGAUGCUCUUCGUUUUAUGGCCUCAUCUACGAAGUUGGUAGCAAACAUCAUAUUCUUAGAUGCUCCUGCUGAAGUGGCUUACGACUCAUCAAAAGUUCCUUGCAAAUCCACUCUAUGUUGCUGGUGACGUUGACUACUGUAGCAGUUAACAAGGUGAGGAAGGACUGAUGAGUGCCUUGAGGUGCAGUAGGUCAUUGAGUUCAUGACCUUGGCUAGAAUUGGGAUAGGGUAAGAAUCCCAUCCUUAUAGAUUAUGAAAUCAAGUUGGUUUUGGUGUUUGACUAAUUAAUUGUUGUUCUGUGGUGGGGAUGAAGAGCUAAGUUUGGAUGCAGGACCUUAGUCGGAGGCCAUCACUGCACCAAAGGUUUCUGUAAGGGAUAUGGUAAGGGUUUGGACUUUGAAUCCGUUAAUGGUGAAACUGUGGUGGUUGUAAACGGUUGUUUGAAUCGAUGAAUGAGUGUGGUUAAAAUGUGAAAUUAUUUAUACCGGUUUUGUGACUCGAUUAAGUGUUGGUUUUGUGAUUCACGGUUAAAAGUUGUAAAGUUGGGUAAUAAGAGUAAUCUAAGUGUGAGUUGGUGGUAAUUAUUAAGUCACCUAGAAUUUUUACCCUUGUAGUGUAGGGUGGAAAGUAAUUGGCUAUUUAAGCGAGCAUUUUGGAAGAAACUGGUAAAUAAGAAUUGUACUACUCUUGACAACUAAAGAGGGGUUGAAUUGGGUGUAGAGAGGAAAUUGAUAUUGAGUGGACUUUUGUUUAAUUAAUGAUUAUUGAAGAUCAAACCAUCGGUUUUACUUCAAAUUUUAGUAUGUUGAACGUAAGACAAUUCCGUUGACAUUGUGAAGUCACGGGCGAAGAUCCGACCGUUGGAUCUUCUUGAUAAUUUUGGAGGAUGAUC